GACCGCGUAGCUCAGUUGGAAGAGCAUUGGGCUAGUAUUCGAAAGGUCGUAGGUUCGAAUCCCGCCGUGGCCA